GGACAACCUACCCAAGAGUCAGGGAUAACCCCGGGAAACUGGGGAUAAUACCUGAUAGGCCACGACAUCUGGAAUGAGUCGUGGUUUAAACGUAAGGCUCUUGGAUGGGUCUGCGGCGGAUUAGGUUGUUGCCGGUGUAACGUACCAGCAAGCCUGUAAUCCGUACGGGUUGUGGGAGCAAGAGCCCGGAGAUGGAUUCUGAGACACGAAUCCAGGCCCUACGGGGCGCAGCAGGCGCGAAAACUCUACAAUGCAGGCAACUGCGAUAGGGGAACAUCGAGUGGCACCCACCAUGGGUGUCUGUCCAGCCGUCUAAAAAACGGCUGUUAGCAAGGGCCGGGCAAGACCGGUGCCAGCCGCCGCGGUAAUACCGGCGGCUCGAGUGGUGGCCGAUAUUAUUGAGUCUAAAGGGUCCGUACCGGCUUUGCAAGUCCCCUGGGAAAUCCAGCGGCUUAACCGUUGGGCUUUCAUGGGAUACUACAUUGCUUGGGACUGGGAGAGGUAGGAGGUACUCAGGGGGUAGGGGUGAAAUCCUGUAAUCCUCUGGGGACCACCGGUGGCGAAGGCGUCCUACCAGAACAGGUCCGACGGUGAGGGACGAAAGCUAGGGGCACGAACCGGAUUAGAUACCCGGGUAGUCCUAGCCGUAAACGAUGCUCGCUAGGUGUCACGGCAGUCGUGAAUUGUCGUGGUGCCGUAGGGAAGCCGUGAAGCGAGCCACUUGGGAAGUACGACCGCAAGGUUGAAACU
rnacentral:rRNA from 1 species